CGGACGGGUGAGUAAUGCCUAGGAAUCUGCCUGGUAGUGGGGGACAACGUUUCGAAAGGAACGCUAAUACCGCAUACGUCCUACGGGAGAAAGCAGGGGACCUUCGGGCCUUGCGCUAUCAGAUGAGCCUAGGUCGGAUUGCUAGUUGGUGAGGUAAUGGCUCACCAAGGCGACGAUCCGUAACUGGUCUGAGAGGAUGAUCAGUCACACUGGAACUGAGACACGGUCCAGACUCCUACGGGAGGCAGCAGA
rnacentral:rRNA from 1 species